UCUCACCCUGGGCUCCUUCCCGGCAUGGCCAGAGCCUCGAUCAGGCUCUGCAGCCGCAGCCACCGCCGAGAUGCUGCUCCCGGUCCUCCAGCUCCUCUGGCUCUUCCUGCUGCUCCCAGGUUCCAGAGCCUCCACAAACUCCUCCAUCGCUGCUGUAACAGGUCCACCCCAGCCAACAACACCCAGCCCUGAAGAGAAGAACCACACCUCAGAGCCGGCGCUAAAACCAAACCCAUCCCCCGGCCCGAGUGUCACCUCCGUGGGUCAAACUGCUCCAGCCAAACCCUCCACCACCACCACCACCAGCACUCCAAGCACGCUGCCAGCCUCGACUGCACGAGAUGAUGACUCCAGUGGAAACAGAAGCACAGCAGCCACUUCUCCCCCACCUCGAGAUCAAGAGCCCACGAGAAGGGAGAGAACCACGACACCAGUGACUCAAGGUGUUUCCUCCUCCCAGAGAGGCACCUCAGAGCCUGUCACGCUCACACUGAACUCCUCUGAGCCCACCCCAACAGAUGAUGAAUCACCACUGACAGUGGCAGCUUUCGGUGUCAUCAGCUUCAUCGUUAUCCUGGUAGUGGUGGUGAUCGUCCUGGUCGGCGUGGUCAGCCUGAGGUUCAAGUGUAACCGCUCCAAGGAGGAAGACAAACAGAAACCAGGAAGCUCCAUGGUGUCAGAGAGCUGCUCAGCAGACACGAGCCAGAAGGACAACAGCAUCACUCUGAUCUCCAUGAAGAACAUCAACAUGAACAACAGCAUGACUUACCCCCCAUCAGAAAAGGUGUCCCUUUUCAGCCUUGCUUUUUAGGGCAUUAACUGGGGAUCAUUUCUGUGGCUGGAUAAGAGCAUGCCUUUGAGGUUCUAUGAAGAGCCCAGAGAAUGAAGCUGACACAUGACAACCAGCAGUGACUUUCUAGGUUCUUUUUCUUUUUUUUUCCAUUGUGGAAAGAGCGAGGGUGGACUUUAUAUAUAAAUUAUUAUGUCCUUUCUGAUCAAUACAUUUCCUUUAGUGUCCUACAUAGCUUCCCCAGCUGGGGCCUAAGGGCUUUCUCCAGUUACAGCCUGCCACGCUCAGUGGUUGAUAUCUAGCUCUAUUUUUGAGAUGCCUUCAAACACUCUGAAUAAAUUCAGCAUCAAGAAGCACCGAGGCACCACCUACUUCGCUGAUGGCGUUUACAGUCCAUGACAGGCUGUCAGGAGCUCGUUAAGCAGCGUAGCCCCACGUCAGGUCAAACCUGUGUGUUUAGGAAAGCCUGUUCUGAAGACCUGAGGAGACUUAAAUGACCAAGUUCUAGGUCAAACCCCAGGAUGAUACUCCAAGCCCCUUAUCCCUGGUGCCCUCCUUGUCCCCGCAGUGGUGGGGAUGAUCACACUCACCUACCUCACAGGGUUGUUGUGAGGCUGCGUUAAUCCAUGUCUGUACAGCGUUCAGAGAGCCUGGAACUAAAGGUGCUGCUGAAAUACAAUUUGCUGUCUUAAGGACUUUAUUAUUAAUACCUGAGCUUCAGGCAGGCAGAUCACUAUCUUCCCACGUGCUUAAACACUUGAAGACUGUGCGUAGACAGGGGUUUAGCUGAGUGUACAAAGCCAGUGGCCACAAGCAAAAUGCUGAGCUGCUUUAGCUCCUGGAGUCUGGCAGUGCAAGUGUGCUUGGGAGAGCUUCCAUCAUCUCUACCACUGCUUUCCCAGAGCUUCCUGACAGACCAGAAAAGCAGCAUCCCCAGCCAGCCAGAGUCCCCACUCACCACAGCCCCAGGAACCACCAGUGCACCCCCAAGGCUGUUGGGGUAAAUACCCUUUUCCUGGAAGACUUCACUUUGAGGACAUUAGAGCUUAAUUAGAUGUUUCACUUAAGGAGACUUUCUGCCUGAGAAGAAACCCCUUUUUUCAAACAUAUUUGGACGUUUCUUUCCCUUCUGCAUUCCAGAGAAAGCUGCAGUCUCUCUCUCUGGUCUGAGGAGAAAUAAACCCUCACAGUGUUAUAGCCCUUUGCUUUGGGGAGGCCCUGGGGGAGGACAGAGAAGAUAAGAGGCCUGGCAGGGAACA